GAUCCUGGCUCAGGAUGAACGCUAGCGACAGGCUUAACACAUGCAAGUCGAGGGGCAGCAUGAUUUGUAGCAAUACAGAUUGAUGGCGACCGGCGCACGGGUGAGUAACGCGUAUGCAACUUACCUAUCAGAGGGGGAUAGCCCGGCGAAAGUCGGAUUAAUACCCCCCAUAAAACAGGGGUCCCGCAUGGGAAUAUUUGUUAAAGAUUCAUCGCUGAUAGAUAGGCAUGCGUU
rnacentral:rRNA from 1 species